UUAAAAUCAACACUUAUCUUUUAACUUUCUGAGAACAAAGAUGUUGAUUGCCCGACUGGCGAUUUUAAUCUCUUUUCUGGGCUGUGUGGCUGGACUCCAGAAACUGAAGACCACUGCCGGUUCCACGACUACAAAGACUACGAGGACUUUGGAUGCUGUCAGCUAUUGUCAGCCAAGUGGAGGAUAUUGUCGGAUACAUGUGGAUUGCUGUUCGGGAAUGUGCAUUCAGGUGUCUGCAGAGUGUCGUUAGAAGAAAUCGGCUACCUUGUGUUUGGAGUUUGAUAUACCAAAAGGCUUGAAAGGGCGUCGGAAUAUUUAUUUUCUCAGUUGGAGAAGCUCUUCUAUGAUUUAAUGAGCACGGAAUCUGCUUAUUCAUAAUGUCUAUAUUCCUCAUAUCUGGCAAUCUAAAAGCAGAUUGAGUCAGUUGAUUGUUAACUUUACCAGCGA